rnacentral:tRNA from 1 species
ACUAGCCGAAUUGGUACAGGCGCUUGACUGAUAAUCAAGAUUAUGCAGGUUCAAAUCCUGCGUAUAA